GAUGUUAAGAUAGCCAUGCACGUCUAAGUACAAACUAAAUGAUGGUGAAACUGCAAAUGGCUCAUUACAACGGUUAUGAUGUACCCGGGAGUUCCGAUGGAUAUUUCCAGUAACACUAGAACUAAUACAUGUCCCUGCGUUUAUUAGUUUCGCACAGUCCGUCGCUGAGUCAUGGUAAACAGUUGAUCGACUCGACGUCCCGGAACAGUUUCCGCCCCAUCAGCUUCGAUGGUUGGGUAUUGGCCUACCAUUGCAACAACGGGUAACGAGGAAUUAGGGUUUGAUUUCGGAGAGGGAGCCUGAGAAACGGCUACCACAUCUACGGAUGGCAGCAGGCGCGCAAAUUACCCAAUGCAGACACUGUGAGGUAGUGACGAGAAAUAAUAAAGCGGGACUUCUGUUUCGCUAUUAUAAUGAGGAAUAACCAAAGGUCAUUCCGAUUAGCAACUGAUGGGAAAAGUCUGGUGCCAGCAGCCGCGGUAAUACCAGCGUCAGUAGCA
rnacentral:rRNA from 1 species